rnacentral:rRNA from 1 species
UACAGAGGGUGCGAGCGUUGUCCGGAAUCACUGGGCGUAAAGGGCGCGUAGGCGGUCGGAUAAGCGUGCGGUGAAAGCCCGGGGCUCAACCCCGGGUCGGCCGUGCGGACUGUUCGACUGGAGCACUGUAGAGGCAGGUGGAAUUCCGGGUGUAGCGGUGGAAUGCGUAGAGAUCCGGAAGAACACCGGUGGCGAAGGCGGCCUGCUGGGCAGUUGCUGACGCUGAGGCGCGACAGCGUGGGGAGCGAACAGG